UCUCUGCUCCUGGGCAUGACUCUUGCAGCUUUCUUCAUGACUUGGAGUGGAUGGAGAAAAUGGUUUGUAAAAAAAUUCAGUUGUUGCAACAAGAAAACUUUUUACUACAAACUGAUUUUGGAAGAAGAGAAAAAAGUUCUGGAGGAGCUUUUGAGGAAAGAAGCAAAUGAGACUUUGACUAAAGAAAUUAUGAGCAACAUAAAAAGGAAAGACUGGGACGGCUGUUUUAAUGUUGCUCAACAAAUGAUCAAUAAAGCAAAACAUCAAAAACCAGAAGCAACCAACCAGCAGAUCAACUGGAUCAGUGAGGGGAGCUCCAACAGAGGGGGACAGCAUCAUCAAGCAGCAGCACAUCAGCAGGCACAAAUCUAUGAACUUGAUGCUGUGGCACAAGAAAACAAAGACACCAUGCCAUUAUUUGAGGAAUCCGCCUGAAAGAACAUCAAGGUCCGCAGCUCCAGAAACAACGCAAGUGACCACAGACAAGUUAUACACCUUGACAGGCGAUGUGAGGUGUAGAGGGAAAGAGAGGUCAGAUAAAAGGUCUUAAUAUCCACCCUUAUGUGAUUAUAAAUGGAUUGAGAUGAAAUCUGUAAGAGUUUUUGGAAAGGGAAGCAGGAGACUGUUGUUGUAGAGUGGAUUGAGGAGA